rnacentral:rRNA from 2 species
AGACCCGAAACCCGGUGAUCUAGCCAUGGGCAGGUUGAAGGUUGGGUAACACUAACUGGAGGACCGAACCGACUAAUGUUGAAAAAUUAGCGGAUGACCUGUGGCUGGGGGUGAAAGGCCAAUCAAACCGGGAGAUAGCUGGUUCUCCCCGAAAGCUAUUUAGGUAGCGCCUCGUGAAUUCAUCUCCGGGGGUAGAGCACUGUUUCGGCUAGGGGGCCAUCCCGGCUUACCAACCCGAUGCAAACUGCGAAUACCGGAGAAUGUUAUCACGGGAGACACACGGCGGGUGCUAACGUCCGUCGUGAAGAGGGAAACAACCCAGACCGCCAGCUAAGGUCCCAAAGUCAUGGUUAAGUGGGAAACGAUGUGGGAAGGCCCAGACAGCCAGGAUGUUGGCUUAGAAGCAGCCAUCAUUUAAAGAAAGCGUAAUAGCUCACUGGUCGAGUCGGCCUGCGCGGAAGAUGUAACGGGGCUAAACCAUGCACCGAAGCUGCGGCAGCGAACGUAUCACUUAAAGCGAUUCAGCGGGUUACGAUUGACGGAGCGAAGCGACGUCAAAGCGUAUACAAAGUCGAGUCGGUUUAAGGAUACGUUCGUUGGGUAGGGGAGC